ACGGGGGGUGCUAGCGUUGUUCGGAAUCAUUGGGCGUAAAGAGCGUAGACGGCUGGAGAAAUCAGAUGUGAAAAACCUGGGCGUAACCCCGGAAGAGCAUGUGAUACUGUUCAGCUUGGGAAAGGGAGAGGUGAGUGGAAUUCCUGGUGUAGUGGUGAAAUCCGUUGAUACCGGGGGGAACACCUGUGGCGAAGGCGUCUCACCAGGCCUGUUCUGACGCUGAGGAGCGAAAGCGUGGGUAGCAAACAG
rnacentral:rRNA from 1 species